CAUAAUAAUUAAAAACGUACACUUUUUCCCCCUACUGCAAUUCUACAGUCCAUCAGAGGGGGCGCCUAAAUUCAUCUUGUCUAUGGCACAGAACAUGAAUAGCACAUGAGGAAGAACACAGCGGUGAUUUUAACAUUUAUUGGUGGCAGGGGGCGAAUAUAGUUUUUCAGACAACAACAACAUUUUGUCCUGUAGGCAGUGGUUGUGACAACUGUCUCUAAGUAAACGUCUAAGUACUGUCAGAAGUAUGCAAGGAACGUCUUGACAGGACAUUUUAGUUUCACUUUUUUAGCAUGAGAUAUGCUGCUGCUCGGUUCAGGUAGACUUUUAAUAUUAACACGUUUUUAAACACAAUCGAACGAAUAUAAUAAUAUAAGAUGAGGUGUACAACAUGAGAGCGCCGCGUUCACAUUGCACUGUGGCGAGAGCGAAUUAAUUUCGAAUUCUCAUAAUAACAACACAACCGCGUCACGUGACGCGUGCACGCUCUCCCGAGUGCUUUCACGCGGUUCAUUUGGCAUAUGUGAACAAGGCAAUCCCGCGCCAAAAAAAAAAAAAAAACCGAUCCUUAACAAGACCAAAAUUCAACAUUGUAAUAAUUUGAAUCCCUGUUUGGGAACAAAGCUACCGAUCUACAGGUGUGAAACCAACCUCAGAUGAAGACAGAUUAAUUUAUGAACUCUAUAUGGACUCGUGCAGGGUAAGAGCAAAAUCAAAUGCUUAUAAACUAUAAGUCUAACAACUGGUGUCCUUAAAAAAGAUAGAUGGUUCAGUAGGCAUUAUCAUGGAAUUACUGUACACUUCUAAGGACAUUUUUACAUUCUUAGGUAACUAAAUAGAGCACACUAGACCUCUUGCAGACUAGUCUGGCUACUUAUGUAUAUGGAAGACUGGGUCAUUUUUGAAAGUUCCUUUUGGCUGUCAGGAGCAAUGUAGUUUGAUGGCCGAGGGAAAGUUAUGGAGGACCCGUGGAGUUGGAGGAUGCACAGACAGUGUCAGCUUCACUAUGGAGCCAAAGGAUGGCAUCUGAAAUGGCAUGCCAUAAAAAGUGCCUCGGGCCCUUUUGGCGUCGAAGGCUGUCAUAAAUGAAGUCGGCGCUCUCUGAGGAAGAGUCAGGAAUGAUGCUUAAGAAACACGUUUGUAUUGAGUUUCCACUGUAUUUUCAUUAAUGCUAAAGACUUGUUAAAUUUACAACUUUUAAAAAACAAUUAUCAUUAUGAAGUAUAUGUAUUAAACAUGUAAUUUAAACAUAUUAAUUCAUACAAACAUAUAGAAGUUUGAUAUUUUACCCGGAAAUGUGUUCUUAAGGAACACUAAUCCUUAUAAACAUUCUAAUGAUAUUUUAACAUUUAAAAAAACACAUGAUCAUUUCCAAAUUGCAUCUGUUCACGGAAUCAGAAAAGAACAUACAUUGACCCUUUAACCGGCUACAGUGUGUUCACUGAGUUUGCACAUAGAAAAAGAGGAAGAUGCUGCGGGAGUGCCUGUAGACAUUGUCCGUACGGGCAAAUUAAUGUGGAGGAUCCUACUAAGAAGAAACUUCAACUCUUUGUUUUAUGUAUAGUAGUAAAUGUUAAGAUCGGCUGAACAACUCAUUUUGUGUGUUCCCAUAUUGAAUUUGGACUUCUUUUAAUGCACAUUCGUCUUACACUCUGUUUAAAAUGAUGAAAUACGCUACACCAGAUGUGCAACCCACACUCCAGGAAAUGGUUUGAAUCACAUCUAUCCACUGUGAUUUGACUUACAGGAGUUGGUGUGCUCCUCUGUCAGAUGAAUUCCACAAGCGGGAAUUUUCGCAGUGAUGAAUAUUCAUACGGUUACAGGCGAUCUUAAUUUUGACAGCUGUCAAUUCAGACUACGUGCUUCCUCCCUGGUAAAUGUACGACCAAGAAAACACCAUGGAAAAUGAAGUCUUCUCAUAAAAUGUGUGUUGACGUUAAAUACAUAGGCUUAGAAGGCUUCGUUUCAUGUUUAAAAAACCUGUAAAAACACAAAUUAUAUUUAAAGAGUUAACAGAAGUAUUUAUUAUUAUUUUAUGUAACUUAAACUAAUUAAAAUUACCUUUCUAGAAGUUCUCAAAUGUAUUUUGGCUUUGCUUCAACAGGUCUUGUACAAUUUACAUAUGCUAUAUACAGGGUUGUUGUCAAGGCCCUGUGUAAAAAUGUCCUUAACGGCAUACACUUUGAGCUACUUUGAGGGUGCAGGAGAUUAACAAUAAAAAAUGGUCCUUGGCCCUUUCAGCAACGACUGUAUGUGUUUGAGAUUCCGUGUGCAUGUUUAUGUAUUUACGCAUAAAGAAUUGUUUAAUUGCAUAUAAAGUUUAUUCAUUCAAAGUACAUCAUAUUCAAAGUACAUCACAUUCAGUUGUUAGUGUCUGCUACCUCCUGGCCAUUAUAUGCAUCUUCAUAUUUGCCUGUCUGAUUUAUAUCUCCCUGUGGCUAACUGAGAUUGAUACUCAGGUUUUCCAUCCACUGAAACUGAUUUCAGCGCAAAAAAUGAUAUGCAAAGCCAAGUAGGAUUUUGCCCCAGGCACUGGCCGUCCAACCUGUCACACAGCAUCGCAGGGCAGGAACAAGGAAACGGUCUCUGAAUGCGGGAAUGUGUGUGUAGCAGAGCCCUGUCCCAGCUUUGCCGACUGGCGCCGAGCACGAUAUCAGGCGACGGGAGGGUCCCAAGGCGGGCACACAUUUAUCAGGAGCAAGGCCCUGUGAACGUUGACAAGGAGAUUCAUGAUCUCAACAGUUCCAGGGAGGACAGGCAGGCAAGGGGCUUGUGGCAUCGUCAGUCCGGAUGAGAG
ensembl:lncRNA